ACUGCCGCUUGAUCACCAGGGAUCCUCAGCAGUGCAGCACCAGGAUGAGGGCUUGACUCGUCUCCUGGAGGGGCAUGUCCAACCCCACCCGAGAUGUCUGACCUGCAAUAGGCAUUUCCCAGCUAGCUCAGCUCUGCAGGGCAGCCAAUUUCUGCCUUCUUGACGGCGACCAGGUGGCUGCUGCAGGAGCUGGUGCUGUGAGUGGGGGUAGACACGGGGCUGGUGGAGGGCUGCAUGCGAGGGUGGCUUAGGAGGGUGUCCUUGAGCAGGAGGCUGCAAGGUCUCCAGGACAACCCACUUGCUACCAGACCCCGGGGAAGGAGGGCACAAUCCCUGGGCAUGGACGCCACCUCUUCCCUGCAUGCUGCCCCUGGGAGGGACCUCAUUGCUCAACCAGAGCCCUCAAGCAGGGAAGAGGGUGUCCUGGAGGAGAGGGGAUGGGCCGGGGGCUGUCAGGGAUACUCCAGCUCCUUGGGAACCCAAGUCGGGAGGGCUCAGAGGUCUCCGAGAUUCAGUCCUGUGUCUGACAGGUUCCUGCUGGAGUGGAGUGUCUGGGGCUCCUGGUACGACAGAGGG
rnacentral:lncRNA from 1 species